UGGGGAAUAUUGCACAAUGGAGGGAACUCUGAUGCAGCAACGCCGCGUGCGGGAUGACGGCCUUCGGGUUGUAAACCGCUUUCAGCCAUGACGAAGCUUUUGUGACGGUAGUGGUAGAAGAAGCACCGGCUAACUACGUGCCAGCAGCCGCGGUGAUACGUAGGGUGCGAGCGUUGUCCGGAAUUAUUGGGCGUAAAGAGCUUGUAGGCGGUUUGUCGCGUCGAUAGUGUAAACACGCAGCUUAACUGUGUGCCUGCUGUCGAUACGGGCUGACUAGAGGAGGGUAGGGGAGAAUGGAAUUCCCGGUGGAGCGGUGGAAUGCGAAGAUAUCGGGAGGAACACCAGUGGCGAAGGCGGUUCUCUGGACCUUUCCUGACGCUGAGAAGCGAAAGCGUGGGUAGCAAACAGG
rnacentral:rRNA from 1 species